rnacentral:sRNA from 26 species
UAUACUUGCAGAUAGAAAUAUGCUGUAUACCCGCUCAACCGAAUUAACGUUUAAGCGACAUGUAAUGUCGUCGGACGCGGGGCCGCCAUUUGGCGGUUUUUUUACUA